GUCUACGGCCAUGCCACCCUGAACAAGCCCGAUCCUGUCUGAUCUCGGAAGCUAAGCAGGGUGGGGCCUGGUUAGUACUUGGAUGGGAGACCACCUAGGAAGACCAGGUGCUGUAGGCA
rnacentral:rRNA from 1 species